rnacentral:lncRNA from 1 species
AUGGAAAGAAAGGCAGGGUUUUCCUGCUGGCUUCAGUCUGGAGAUCUGACUCCAGCUUCUGCUGGGCACGAGGCGGGCGUGGUGGAAGGAGCAGUUUUUGCAGAGUUUGGCCACAGGAGACAUGAUUCCAGCAGUGACAAUGAAGACACUCCAGGCAGAUGUGCACACUGGAGAGAGGGCACCAUGAAGAGGCUUCCCAGGGGCAACCCAGCCAGGCCUGCUGCUUCAGAGAUGAAGAAGGAAGAGGGGGAUGAAAUCGGAAAAGAAGGAAAUAUGUGUAAUUUGUAAAAUGUUAAGCGAUUAUGCCUGUGGCCUCUGAGUGUCAGGUUUGUCAUCUUUUCUUGCUUUGCUUCUCAAACAUCUUUCCCACAUGACCUGCUCUUUUGUGCCUCUGCCACCACCAAAUAUCAAACACUAGGGUUUUGUCGGUUAUCAUCUCUUGAGAACUGAGCAUAGAGAGGUUGGGCUGGGUUUGGUGCUGGCCUGCACUGCAGGAUAUCCAUGGGCACAGCUCUCUCCCAGACACUAGAACCUGGGGACCCAGCUCUCCCAGUGCGCGUCAGGUGGGGGUUGGACGUGGACCUCUCCCAUCUGCACUCCCAGGUCUCAUAGCAGCAACUUGGUGUUUCUGUCCCCUCUGCUCACUUCUGGUUUAACAACACUCCUGCGGUUGUGGAACUUCAAGAAUCAGCCUCAAUGUGGAGCUGUUACAGCAAACUCAGCCCCUUCUAUGAUGACCUCUGGAGCUGGGCCGGCCCCUCCAAGUCCUGAAGUGGGUGGGGGGCUCGGCCUUCAUCACUGCACACAACUUGGCCAUGGAAUGCAGGCUGUUUCUGGAAGAGCAAUUGUGAGUGACCCCUAAUCCAGCUGCAAGACCCAUAAGUCAUCUCAGAUGACACUGGUUGACCAGUAACAGCAUUUAGGAAAGCAUGUUCAGACCUGAGGAGCCAUCGUGAUGGACACCGUCACUUCCACUAAUGUCCACCUCUUGCACUGCCUAGACAUGCUCAUUUCAUGGAGUAGUUUCUCCAGGAAUCUCUUUGGCCUUUUUUCCCCAGAAAAAAAAAAAAUUGUCAAGAGGUUAUCAGUGGAAAGAGCCACAGGCCCUGCUGGUCUCCAGCUGUAACUGACGCUCACUGCCCUCCUCCCCCACUGCCCUUCAAGCUGCCCCUGCCAGACACUGAAUGUGUGUCCACAAAGCCAUGUGUGGACAUCCUAACCCCCAGUGCGAUGACCUCAGGAAGCACAGCCUCUGUGCAGAGAUUAGGUCAUAACGACUGAGCCCCGCCAAAGAGCCUCCUGUAGCUUCUCCCAUGCCCAACCUGCAUGGACACAGCAGAAAGACAGCGGCCCAUGAAGGA